AAAAUGGUCCCCCCGGUGCAGGUCUCCCCUCUGAUUAAGGUACUUCACUCAGACUACAGCCCCUCGUUUGACCCGGGGGCGUUAAAGAGCCGCUUUAUUCUCAUAAACCUUCUUUUUCCCGCUGCUGUCACUCGGAGACAGCCAGAUAUUCUGCACUGAUUGCAGGAAUCAUCUAUGGCAAGAAGAGAUACGAUUACCUGAAGCCUAUCGCAGAGGAAGAGAGGCGGAUUGAGGAGGAGGAGAAGAAAGUGAGGGAGGAAAAGGAACGGAUCGCGAAGCA